rnacentral:rRNA from 1 species
UACGUAGGGUGCAAGCGUUAAUCGGAAUUACUGGGCGUAAAGCGUGCGCAGGCGGUUGUGCAAGACAGAUGUGAAAUCCCCGGGCUUAACCUGGGAAUGGCAUUUGUGACUGCACGGCUAGAGUGUGUCAGAGGGGGGUGGAAUUCCACGUGUAGCAGUGAAAUGCGUAGAGAUGUGGAGGAACACCGAUGGCGAAGGCAGCCCCCUGGGCUAACACUGACGCUCAUGCACGAAAGCGUGGGGAGCAAACAGG